rnacentral:rRNA from 1 species
GACGAACGCUGGCGGCGUGCUUAACACAUGCAAGUCGAACGCAGUGGCGAACGGGUGAGUAACGCGUUAUCAACCUGCCCUUCAGAGGGGGACAACAGUUGGAAACGACUGCUAAUACGGCAUACUGAAGAUGGGGAUUGCGUCUGAUUACCUAGUUGGAGGGGUAACGGCCCACCAAGGCGAGGAUCAGUAGCCGGUCGGAGAGGAUGAACGGGCACAUGGGGACUGAGACACGGCCCAGACUCCUACGGGAGGCAGCAGUGGGGAAACUUCCGCAAUGGACGAAAGUCUGACGGAGCAACGCCGCGUGAGUGAUGACGGCCUUCGGGUUGUAAAGCUCUGUUAAUCGGGACGCGGUACCGGAAUAGAAAGCCACGGCUAACUACGUGCCAGCAGCCGCGGUAAUAC